GGUUUUUUGUUUCUCUGAAACAAAUAUGAAGAAGACCGUUUUAAGGAAAAUACAGCGUGGUAAUUUAUGGUACCAGCAUGAAGCAGGAAGUGAAAGAAAGACAUUUGAAUUUAAAUUAUUGUUCAUGAUUGUGUAAUCGUAUAGGUGUUUCAGUGUCUGUUCCUGAAGACAUUCCUGCAUCUACUUUUAUAUAUAUGGUUCUUUCAAGAGAUCCAGAUCUAGGACAGGAAGUUGAAUUUUUAAUAUUCUUCAAUUAAUGCCACUGCCUACUUUGCUUUGGAUUCGCAUAAUGGUGUUAUUUCUAAAACAACUGAACCUCUUUUGGACUAUGAAACAAAUCCUAAGAUUCAGGAGGGGUCACACUUGCCUAUCCUUUGGAUUAUGAAGACAUAGCCACACCAAAGUCUUGGGUAUUAUAUUUUAGAGCUUAUGACAAUGAGCGAAUACAUUCAACAACUGGGACAGUCACUGUGUUUCUACAAGAUGUAAAUGACAAUCCACCUCAAUGCUCGCAGGGUAUUUACAUAACUGAACAUCCUGAAAACAUCCCAGUUGAAACGUAGUCUCUCUAACUUGUACAGAUAAGGAUGGAACUGCUCCUGAUAACAAAAUAAUGUAUCAUUUGAUUAUGGAUGCCUUUUCAAAUGGAACAUUUACCCUCACAAACAAUGAACUGACAGACUUGCGAAAGGGGUGGUUCAUUUGCUCAGCCCUCAGCUCUCAACCCCUCACAGGAUGGGAAGCAUGCAGGUGAGCGGGUGCAGGGGCUGGGACUCAUGCCUCUGGGCACUGGCAGGAGUACAGCUCUGUGCUUCCCCAUGACGUCUAAGGGGGUACCUGUGACCCCAGAGCCCCAGAGGGCGUGUGUUACAGUGUGCUCUUUUAGCUUUGCUGUCCAUGUACAGCUUAAGUGCUUAACAGCUCAGUGGAGGGUCAGGGUGACAGUCUUUCACACCCAUCCUCUUGGUACCCAAGUUCUUGUCCAGCAUCCAGGAAGAAUCAGGCUGCACAAAUGAACUGAAGAGUGGUGAAUGUAGAAGAUUUUACUGAGUGGUGGAAGUGACUCUCAGUGGGAUGGGGAGCUGGAAAGGGGAUGGAGUGGGAAGGUGGUCUUUCCCUGGAACUUGGCCCCAACUGAGCUCUUCUCUGAAGUCCCGCUAUCAAGCUGCUCUCUCUGAUGUCCAGCUGCUUCUUUUCUUCUCUCCUUCUCUGCUGCUCAGCCACUCUGCUGCUCUGCUGCCCCUCUGCCAGUGGAGGCUGGGGUUAUGGGUACAGGAUGGGGGGUGGGGCAGGCCAGGAUGGUUUUGGAAAAGGCAACAUUUGGAUGGGAAAACAGGAAUACAUGUUCUCACUUUGGGCCAUAGUCCUGGGCUUGGGGGUGUAGCCUUAGCCGGGGACCACCCUCUUCUACCCAGUAUUUCCUUGCCUCCUGUCCAUAUCACUACCAUAGUUACUUUUAAUAAAUAUCAAAUAUGGUAUAUGAAGAUUAUUAAUAUGCAUACUUUAUUACUGUAUUCUGGUAUGUGCCAUAGCUCAAAUAUUUUACCAAUUAAAGAAAUCCAGAACUUUAUUUCCAAUAAAUUUUGAGACCUAAGUCAGGCUAUAUGUUGUUAUACUCACAUAGUUUUAAAAGAAUAGGUGGGGUUAGAUUAGACAUUGUGUUCAACAAAGAUUCCUGGGUAAUGGCUGAACAUUGCUAUGAUAAAAGUUGUUCAAACCCAUGUUGAGUUUGUUUUCAUUAACCGAUAAGAAAACAGACAUGGUCUGGAUGAGUAGACACAGGUAACAAGCACUUCUUUUUUACUUAUUUUGAUACUGAAUUCAUUGCAAAUGGACCUCUAUCCAAGUUGCAUUUCACACAAACCCCUAACAUUAUCAUUCUCUGUCUUAUACUUUGUGGCUGAGAUGCACCGAACCACUUUCACAAUCUUAAAACAAUGGAUGUCCUUCACCUCUGCCUUUUAGUCCUGCUGUUCAUGCUAUUCAUAGUGCUAUGAAUACAUACUGCUAGAAAUUCCUCCUCAGCUAUGUCGUAUCCCCAGUACUCACACACUUUUGCAUAACACUCAUGGCUUUGUUUAGAGAUUGUUUCUUUUACGAGCCAUCCCUGAUAUUUCUUCUCCCUCUCGUCUGGAUUAGGCACAUCUCAUUGGUUUCUUGCAGCAUUUUGUAUCUCUCCCACCAUAGCACUAAUCACACAUUCCAUCUGUUUCUCCCAUUAGAUGGUAAAAGAAAAAAAUCUGUUAUUAAACUAGUUUCUGACAUAUAUUCAGUGUUUUUAGAUAUAUGUAUGUAUUUAUUAAUGAGCAAUUAAUGGGUAUAAAUCUGCCAUUUGAUAGAAGAAAUAAGACCUAGUGUUUGAUCAGUAGGGUGACAGUAGUUUACAAUAAUCCAUUGUAUAAAUCAAAAUAGAAGAAAAUAAUAUAUAUAUUUCCAGUGUAAAGAAAAGACAAAUAUUUAAGGUAAUUGAUAUCCCAGUUAUACUGAUUUGAUCUUUACAAAUUAUACAAAUAUAUUGUUGCAUGUACCCCAAAAUAUGUACAUUAUGUAUUAAUAAAAAAUAAACUAAAAAUAAUGAAUGAGUAAAUAACAUGAACAAAAUUAUACUGUAAAAGUCAUUUUUGUAAGACAUUGACAGGAUUUAGUAACAUUAUUGCCAGAUGCAUUAAUGCCACGUUUUCAUAAUUCCUUGCAAUUAGAAUAUAUUGUUGAUAUGACUAGAAUAUCAAAACAGAUACUUGUAAACUACAUAUAUUACAUUUGUAUCCUGAUAAAGAUGGAAAAUAAUAAAAUAUCAAAAAUAUCCUCAAUUAGGAAUAUGAAGAUCGUGGCAUUGAAUAACAUUUCUUUGAAUCUCCCUUAUUCAUGCAGCUCUAACAAGAAUAAAACAGAUAAAACAAGCACACAAAAUACAUGAGUAAACAACAACAAAAUUUUUGUAGUGGACCUGUUCUAAUGUGACUAAAACCGUAAAACCAGCCACAUAAAUUUCCUAGAAGCAAAAGCAUUGACCCAGAGUAUUUUAUUAUGGCUUUCUAACUUUGCCUGAAAAUUAUGAAAUAUUAAUCUUUAUUAAAUUCCCUGGCAUAUGGUAUAACCUCUUUUUCUUUUUUCCAACUAUUACAUUAUUGGAAUGAGAACAAUAAUAUUUUUCUCAAAGGGUGAUUAAGUUCAGAAAGAGUCAUAAAGUGGAAACAUCCUUAUCUUAAAGCAGCUAGAGAAAAGAAGCUAGUGUGUAAAAAAAAACUGACACAAUUUUAAUGCUUAGGGAAUAAAACAUUUACUAGAAGAACAUAGAAAGAACAUGUGUUUGGUUUUCCAACGAUGUUUGAGUUUUAAACUCAUAAAAGGGCAUAAUUAAAAUAUAAAUUUUUUAAAAUUAAAAAUAAAAAAUUUCUUCUUAGAUGCUAUACAUUGGCAUGUGUAUUAUAUUAAUGAGAUAAAAAGAGGUUAGCAGUCACUCAAAACCAUGAUUUAUAAUAAGCACCAAGAGUUUUAUGUUAAAAUAAUGAUUACAGCUUUAGUAGACUAGUAGAUAUUAACUUUAAAUUUACCUUUACUCAUUGAGGAAUGAUAUUCACCAGGGUACCAGUGAUAGCCAUGUAAUUGUAAUGUUUAACAAUGAAUUACUAUUUAAUGAAUCCAAAUGAUUUCAUAUGCAAUAUAUUGAACUUAUUAAUAAAAUAAUAAUAAAUGAAUAUUUCUUUAAGUCAGUAUUACUUAUCAUGUAUUUUAUGAGGUUAUUUCUCUUUAAUGAGCAUUGACCUGAAAAAUCACCCCAAUAUAUUUUUACUAGUCAAUUCAUUUUUUAAUUAUUAUUUUAUGAUGUAAUAUUUGAUAUUCGAUAACAUAAGUAACAUAUUUGCAAGUAAUAAAGCAUAGCAAUAAAAUGAACCCCUGAGCCCAUCAUCUCACUUCAGAAUUAGAAUAUUACUAACAGCUGUGCUGCUACCCUUUGCCAUCCCUCUGCUUGUCUUCUAGAUGCAACCAAUAUCCUGAAUUUUGUGUUUGUCAUUGACUUGGGGAUUUUAUAGUUUUGUCAUCAAUGUACAUAUUACUAGAUAACAUUGUUAUGUUUGCUUAGUUCUUGAGCUUUAAAAACGUGGUAUAUCUAUGCAGUCUUCUGUGACUUGAUAUUUGAUUCAUUAUGUGUUUGAGUCAUUAUUGUUUAGGGCGUACUUGUUUAUCAUAUCUGUCAUCUAUCUGUCUAUCUAUUUAUCAUCUAUCUGUCUAUCUACCUAUCAGCCAUUUAGUUGCUGUAAUGUCCCAUUAUAUAUCUUAAUAUUCCAUUGUGUGACUAUAACCAUUCUCUGAAUUGCCUCCUGGUUUUUGUGUGUUAUGUAUAUCAUUGUAAUGAAAAUUCUUGUGUGUUUCUCUUAGUGCCCCCAGAACAGAACUGCCAUGUUAUAAUGUAUUUAAAUGUUCAACUAUAUGAGUAAGUGCCAAGUUGCAUUCCAAAGAGGUUGUACCAGCUUAUACUGUCACCUGAAAUGGGUAUGCAUUGCUCUUGAGCAAUAUUCUUAUAAUAACUGCUAUUGUCACAUCAUUUAACAUGUUUUUGCCUGAUUGAUAAUGAGAUUGCACAUCAUUCCAUAUAUUCACCAAUUCUGUGAAUAAACAUUAAAUAUUUGUGUUUCCUUUGUGUGAAAAGCAUAAUCAUGUAUUUAUCCAUUCUUGUUUUGUUAUUGUUGGUGUGAUAUACUCUGAUAUUUUGGAAAAUAUCCUAUAUUUUCUUGUAAAUAUUUUUACAAGUCGCCUUUCAUAUUUAAGUUUUUCUAAAUGUAAAAGAACUUAUUUUGUGAUCUGCAGUAAAGUAGGAAUGCAAUUAUUUUUCACUAUUUGGAGCACCUACUCUUACAGUGAUAUUUCUACAGAGACUUCUAAUGCUAUCUCUGACACAUAUAGAAUUUCCAUAGAUACUGUGUCUGCCUCUGGCUAUUUCCUUAUUGUAGUUGUAGUUCUUUUCAUUGUUAAAUUUAUUUCUGCAUUUUCACAUUCUCUCAAUAUCGACAGAUAGAAAAGGCACAAAAUAAAUUUACAAAAUAA